UACGUAGGCAGCAAGCGUUGUUCGGAGUUACUGGGCGUAAAGAGUGUGUAGGCGGUUCUCUAAGUUCCGUGUGAAAUCCCCCGGCUCAACUGGGAGGGUGCGCGGAAAACUGGAGGGCUCGAGUAUGGGAGAGGAAAGCGGAAUUCCUGGUGUAGCGGUGAAAUGCGUAGAUAUCUGGAGGAAUACCGGUGGCGAAGGCGGCAUCCUGGACCGACAUUGACGCUGAGGAGCGAAAGCUAGGGGAGCAAACGGG
rnacentral:rRNA from 1 species